UAAGAAGGUAAAGGAGAGGAUUGACGCCCGUAACAGCCUGGAAACGUACAUCUACAACAUGAAAAACCAGAUCAAUGACAAGGACAAGCUUGCUGACAAGCUUGAAUCUGAUGAGAAGGAGAAGAUCGAGACCGCCGUUAAGGAUGCUCUCGAAUGGCUCGAUGACAACCAAAGCGCUGAGAAGGAAGACUAUGAGGAGAAGCUCAAGGAGGUUGAGGCCGUCUGCAACCCCAUCAUCACCGCAGUCUACCAGAGGUCCGGUGGUGCUCCUGGCGGCGAAUCGGCCCAACCAAAACCAGGGACUGUUG
rnacentral:misc_RNA from 1 species